GAUAUGCUUUGAAUUCAUAAGAUUUAACGAUACAGUGCUAGGGACGGAUCAGAUGACAAGAGAGUCUUGACUUGGACUCAAGCUCAAAGACUUGAGACUCAACUUGGACUUCCAAAAAAAUGACUUGUGAACAUCUCUGGUUUGAUAUGAAACUU